AGCAGGCGCGUAAAUUGCCCGAAUCCUGACACAGGGAGGUAGUGACAAGAAAUAACAAUACAGGGCUACUUCUAGUCUUGUAAUUGGAAUGAGUACAACUUACAUCUCUUCACGAGGAUCAAUUGGAGGGCAAGUCUGGUGCCAGCAGCCGCGGUAAUUCCAGCUCCAAUAGCGUAUAUUAAAGUUGUUGCAGUUAAAAAGCUCGUAGUCGGAUUUCGGGUCGGGCCGAGCGGUCUGCCGAUGGGUAUGCACCGUUUGGCGCGGCCUUCUUUCCGGAGACCGCGGCUACUCUUAACUGAGCGGGCGUGGGAGACGGAUCGUUUACUUUGAAAAAAUCAGAGUGUUUCUAGCAGGCAGCUCGCUCUUGCAUAGGUUAGCAUGGGAUAAUUUAAUAGGACUCUGGUGCUAUUUUGUUGGUUUCGAACACCGGAGUAAUGAUUAAAAGGGGCAGUCAGGGGCACUCGUAUUCCGUCGAGAGAGGUGAAAUUCUCAGACCAAUGGAAGACGAACCACUGCGAAAGCAUUUGCCAGGGAUGUUUUCACUGAUCAAGAACGAAAGUUAGGGGAUCGAAGACGAUCAGAUACCGUCGUAGUCUUAACCAUAAACCAUGCCGACUAGGGAUUGGAGGGUGUUCGUUUCGACCUCUUCAGCACCUUACGGGAAACUAAAGUCUUUGGGUUCCGGGGGGAGUAUGGUCGCAAGGCUGAAACUUAAAGGAAUUGACGGAAGGGCACCACCAGGAGUGGAGCCUGCGGCUUAAUUUGACUCAACACGGGGAAACUUACCAGGUCCAGACAUUGUUAGGAUUGACAGAUUGAGAGCUCUUUCUUGAUUCGAUGGGUGGUGGUGCAUGGCCGUUCUUAGUUGGUGGAGUGAUUUGUCUGGUUAAUUCCGUUAACGAACGAGACCGUAGCCUGCUAAAUAGUUCCGCGAACUUCUUGUUGGCGGUCGACUUCUUAGAGG
rnacentral:rRNA from 1 species